rnacentral:rRNA from 1 species
ACGACGCUGGCGGCGUGCCUAAUACAUGCAAGUCGAACGCACUCUCCGUUUAGAUUGAAGGUAGCUUGCUCCUGAUUGAUAAACAUUUGAGUGAGUGGCGACGGGUGAGUAACACGUGGGUAACCUGCCCUAAAGUGGGGGAUAACAUUUGGAAACAGAUGCUAAUACCGCAUAAAACCUAACACCGCAUGGUGUAGGGUUGAAAGAUGGUUUCGGCUAUCACUUUAGGAUGGACCCGCGGUGCAUUACGUUAGUUGGUGAGGUAAAGGCUCACCAAGACCGUGAUGCAUAGCCGACCUGAGAGGGUAACCGGCCACACUGGGACUGAGACACGGCCCAGACUCCUACGGGAGGCAGCAGUAGGGAAUCUUCCACAAUGGACGAAAGUCUGAUGGAGCAACGCCGCGUGAGUGAAGAAGGUUUUCGGAUCGUAAAACUCUGUUGUUGGAGAAGAAUGUAUUUGAUAGUAACUGAUCAGGUAGUGACGGUAUCCAACCAGAAAGCCACGGCUAACUACGUG